UACGUAGGGUGCAAGCGUUGUCCGGAAUUAUUGGGCGUAAAGAGCUCGUAGGCGGUUUGUCGCGUCGAAUGUGAAAACCCGGGGCUCAACCCCGGGCCUGCAUUCGAUACGGGCAGACUAGAGUUCGGUAGGGGAGUCUGGAAUUCCUGGUGUAGCGGUGAAAUGCGCAGAUAUCUGGAGGAAUACCGGUGGCGAAGGCGGCAUCCUGGACCGACAUUGACGCUGAGGAGCGAAAGCUAGGGGAGCAAACGGG
rnacentral:rRNA from 1 species